UCCGGUUUAUCACCGGCAGUCUCCUUUGAGUUCCCACCAUUAUGUGCUGGCAACAAAGGAUAAGGGUUGCGCUCGUUGCGGGACUUAACCCAACAUUUCACAACACGAGCUGACGACAGCCAUGCAGCACCUGUCUCAGAGUUCCCGAAGGCACCAAGGCAUCUCUGCCAAGUUCUCUGGAUGUCAAGAGUAGGUAAGGUUCUUCGCGUUGCAUCGAAUUAAACCACAUGCUCCACCGCUUGUGCGGGCCCCCGUCAAUUCAUUUGAGUUUUAACCUUGCGGCCGUACUCCCCAGGCGGUCGACUUAACGCGUUAGCUCCGGAAGCCACAGUUCAAGACCGCAACCUCCAAGUCGACAUCGUUUACAGCGUGGACUAC
rnacentral:misc_RNA from 1 species